GAUGAACGCUGGCGGCGUGCCUAAUACAUGCAAGUCGAGCGAACGGACGAGAAGCUUGCUUCUCUGAUGUUAGCGGCGGACGGGUGAGUAACACGUGGAUAACCUACCUAUAAGACUGGGAUAACUUCGGGAAACCGGAGCUAAUACCGGAUGAUAUUUUGAACCGCAUGGUUCAAAAGUGAAAGACGGUCUUGCUGUCACUUAUAGAUGGAUCCGCGCUGCAUUAGCUAGUUGGUAAGGUAACGGCUUACCAAGGCAACGAUGCAUAGCCGACCUGAGAGGGUGAUCGGCCACACUGGAACUGAGACACGGUCCAGACUCCUACGGGAGGCAGCAGUAGGGAAUCUUCCGCAAUGGGCGAAAGCCUGACGGAGCAACGCCGCGUGAGUGAUGAAGGUCUUCGGAUCGUAAAACUCUGUUAUUAGGGAAGAACAUAUGUGUAAGUAACUGUGCACAUCUUGACGGUACCUAAUCAGAAAGCCACGGCUAACUACGUGCCAGCAGCCGCGGUAAUACGUAGGUGGCAAGCGUUAUCCGGAAUUAUUGGGCGUAAAGCGCGCGUAGGCGGUUUUUUAAGUCUGAUGUGAAAGCCCACGGCUCAACCGUGGAGGGUCAUUGGAAACUGGAAAACUUGAGUGCAGAAGAGGAAAGUGGAAUUCCAUGUGUAGCGGUGAAAUGCGCAGAGAUAUGGAGGAACACCAGUGGCGAAGGCGACUUUCUGGUCUGUAACUGACGCUGAUGUGCGAAAGCGUGGGGAUCAAACAGGAUUAGAUACCCUGGUAGCCCACGCCGUAAACGAUGAGUGCUAAGUGUUAGGGGGUUUCCGCCCCUUAGUGCUGCAGCUAACGCAUUAAGCACUCCGCCUGGGGAGUACGACCGCAAGGUUGAAACUCAAAGGAAUUGACGGGGACCCGCACAAGCGGUGGAGCAUGUGGUUUAAUUCGAAGCAACGCGAAGAACCUUACCAAAUCUUGACAUCCUUUGACAACUCUAGAGAUAGAGCCUUCCCCUUCGGGGGACAAAGUGACAGGUGGUGCAUGGUUGUCGUCAGCUCGUGUCGUGAGAUGUUGGGUUAAGUCCCGCAACGAGCGCAACCCUUAAGCUUAGUUGCCAUCAUUAAGUUGGGCACUCUAAGUUGACUGCCGGUGACAAACCGGAGGAAGGUGGGGAUGACGUCAAAUCAUCAUGCCCCUUAUGAUUUGGGCUACACACGUGCUACAAUGGACAAUACAAAGGGCAGCGAAACCGCGAGGUCAAGCAAAUCCCAUAAAGUUGUUCUCAGUUCGGAUUGUAGUCUGCAACUCGACUACAUGAAGCUGGAAUCGCUAGUAAUCGUAGAUCAGCAUGCUACGGUGAAUACGUUCCCGGGUCU
rnacentral:rRNA from 1 species